rnacentral:ncRNA from 1 species
UUUAACGAGAGUUUGAUCCUGGCUCAGGAUGAACGCUGGCGGCGUGCUUAAUACAUGCAAGUCGAACGAAGCACCUUGGACAGAAUCCUUCGGGAGGAAGACCAUUGUGACUGAGUGGCGGACGGGUGAGUAACGCGUGGGUAACCUGCCUUGUACAGGGGGAUAACAGUUGGAAACGACUGCUAAUACCGCAUAAGCGCACAGUACCGCAUGGUACGGUGUGAAAAACUCCGGUGGUACAAGAUGGACCCGCGUCUGAUUAGCUGGUUGGUGAGGUAACGGCCCACCAAGGCGACGAUCAGUAGCCGACUUGAGAGAGUGAUCGGCCACAUUGGGACUGAGACACGGCCCAAACUCCUACGGGAGGCAGCAGUAGGGAAUAUUGCACAAUGGGGGAAACCCUGAUGCAGCGACGCCGCGUGAAGGAAGAAGUAUUUCGGUAUGUAAACUUCUAUCAGCAAGGAAGAAAAUGACGGUACUUGACUAAGAAGCCCCGGCUAAAUACGUGCCA